UACGUAGGGUGCAAGCGUUGUCCGGAAUUAUUGGGCGUAAAGAGCUCGUAGGCGGUUUGUCGCGUCUGCCGUGAAAGUCCGGGGCUCAACUCCGGAUCUGCGGUGGGGUACGGGGCAGACUAGAGUGAUGUAGGGGGAGACUGGAAUUCCUGGUGUAGCGGUGAAAAUGCGCAGAUAUCAGGAGGAACACCGAUGCGAAGGCAGGUCUCUGGGCAUUUAAACUGACGUGAG
rnacentral:rRNA from 1 species